rnacentral:rRNA from 1 species
GACGUAGGGAGCGAGCGUUGUCCGGAUUCAUUGGGCGUAAAGCGCGCGUAGGCGGUCGUGCAAGUCGGUUGUGAAAACCCGGGGCUCAACCCCGGGCCUGCGUCCGAUACUGCUCGACUCGAGGCAGGUAGGGGAGAUCGGAAUUCCUGGUGUAGCGGUGAAAUGCGCAGAUAUCAGGAGGAACACCGGUGGCGAAGGCGGAUCUCUGGGCCUGUCCUGACGCUCAGGCGCGAAAGCUAGGGGAGCGAACAGG